AUUGAACGCUGGCGGCAUGCUUUACACAUGCAAGUCGAACGGUAACAGGCCUUCGGGUGCUGACGAGUGGCGCACGGGUGAGUAAUGCAUCGGAACGUACCCAGAGGUGGGGGAUAACGCAGCGAAAGCUGUGCUAAUACCGCAUGUGAUCUGAGGAUGAAAGCGGGGGACCGAGCAGCAAUGUUUGGCCUCGCGCCUUUGGAGCGGCCGAUGUCGGAUUCGCUAGUUGGUGGGGUAAAGGCCUACCAAGGCGACGCUCCGUAGCUGGUCUGAGAGGACGACCAGCCACACUGGGACUGAGACACGGCCCAGACUCCUACGGGAGGCAGCAGUGGGGAAUUUUGGACAAUGGGCGCAAGCCUGAUCCAGCAAUGCCGCGUGCGGGAAGAAGGCCUUCGGGUUGUAAACCGCUUUUGGCAGGAACGAAACGGUGUCCGCUAAUACCGGGCGCUAAUGACGGUACCUGCAGAGUAAGCACCGGCUAACUACGUG
rnacentral:rRNA from 1 species